AAAUUAGCCCUGUAACUUCGGGAGAAGGGGUGCCAGUUGCGUGAGUAACUGGUCGCAGUGACAAGAGAACUCCGACUGUUUAAUCAAAACAUAGAUCGCUGCUAGUUCGAAAGGAUGUGUAUAGCGGUUGAAGCCUGCCCAGUGCCGGUAUCUUAAAUCCUGUUUCAACGGGACGAAGGACCGGUAAACGGCGGGGGUAACUAUGACCCUCUUAAGGUAGCGUAAUACCUUGUCGCUUAAUUGGCGACUUGCAUGAAGGCUCAACGAGAGUUCUACUGUCCCCGCCUAGACGCUAGUGAAAUCAAUCUGUCUGGUGCACAAUCCAGACCCCUCCAUCUGAAAGCGAAGACCCCAUGGAGUUUCACUGCAACCUGUUGUUGCGGUAAGAAUUGACAUGUGUAGGGUAGGCGGGAGUCGUUACCCAGGAAGGAGCGCCAGCUUCUCUCCGAGACAAUGAUGAAACACCGCUCUUGUCGAUUUUUACCACUAACCUCUAAGGAGGAACAGCUAUAGGUAGGCAGUUCGGGUGGGGCGCCACGCCCUCAAAAAGAUAACAAGGGCGCCCAAAGGUUAGCUCAGGUAGGUCAGAAAUCUACCGAAGAAUGUAAGGGUAUAAGCUAGCUUGACUCGGAACCAGACAAUAGGGUUCGGAGAUAGGAAACUAAGGCCUAGCGAACCAAUCAACCUCCCGAGUGGGGGUGAUUGAUGUCAGAAAAAUUACCCUGGGGAUAAUUGAGUUGUCAGCAGCAAGAGUUCAUAUCGACCUGCUGGCUUGCUACUUCGCUGUCGGCUCUCCCUAUCCUGGUGGUGCAGCAGCUGCCAAGGGUGGGGUUGUUCGCCCAUUAAAAGGGAUCGUGAGCUGGGUUUAAAACGUCGCGAGACAGUUUUGUUGCUUUUUGAUGGAGGUGUUGGUGCCUGACGAGAAGGACCCUUUAGUACGAGAGGAACAGGGGUUCGCCGCCUCUAGUUUAUCAGUUGUCUGGCAAGGCAUUGCUGAGCAGCCACGCGGUAGUGGAUAAGAGCUGAAUGCAUCUAAGCUCGAAGUCAUCUUGAAAAAGAGGCACCCAUAGAACGCUCAUAAAUGAUGAGUUUGAUGGAUGUGGGGUGUAAGUACCGAGGUUCGCCGAGGUAUUCAGCCCGCACUGACCAAAGUUCUUUUGACGUC
rnacentral:rRNA from 1 species